rnacentral:rRNA from 1 species
AGUGAACGCUGGCGGUAGGCCUAACACAUGCAAGUCGAACGGCAGCACAGUAAGAGCUUGCUCUUACGGGUGGCGAGUGGCGGACGGGUGAGGAAUACAUCGGAAUCUACUUUUUCGUGGGGGAUAACGUAGGGAAACUUACGCUAAUACCGCAUACGACCUACGGGUGAAAGCAGGGGAUCUUCGGACCUUGCGCGAUUGAAUGAGCCGAUGUCGGAUUAGCUAGUUGGCGGGGUAAAGGCCCACCAAGGCGACGAUCCGUAGCUGGUCUGGGUGGAUGAUCAGCCACACUGGAACGUGGACACGGUCCAGACUCCUACGGGAGGCAGCAGUGGGGAAUAUUGGACAAUGGGCGCAAGCCUGAUCCAGCCAUACCGCGUGGGUGAAGAAGGCCUUCGGGUUGUAAAGCCCUUUUGUUGGGAAAGAAAAGCAGCAGGUUAAUACCCCGCUGUUCUGACGGUACCCAAAGAAUAAGCACCGGCUAACUUCGUG